GACGAACGCUGGCGGCGUGCUUAACACAUGCAAGUCGAACGGCAAGGCCCUGCUUUUGUGGGGUGAUCGAGUGGCGAACGGGUGAGUAACACGUGAGUAACCUGCCCUUGACUUUGGGAUAACUUCAGGAAACUGGGGCUAAUACCGGAUAGCAGCUCCUCCUGCAGUGUGGGGGUUGGAAAUUUUCGGCUGGUGUGGAUGGACGCGCGGCUUAUCAGCUUGUUGGUGGGGUAGUGGCUUACCCAGGCUUUGACGGGUAGCCGGCCUGAGAGGGUGAACGGCGACAUUGGGCCUGCGAGACGGACCAGACUGCUACGGGAGGCAGCAGUGGGGAAUAUUGCACAAUGGGCGGGAGCCUGAUGCAGAAACGCCGCGUGCGGGAUGACGGCCUUCGGGUUGUAAACCGCUUUCGCCUGUGACGAAGCGUGAGUGACGGUAAUGGGUAAAGAAGCACCGGCUAACUACGUG
rnacentral:rRNA from 1 species